GACGAACGCUGGCGGCGUGCUUAACACAUGCAAGUCGAACGGAAAGGCCCUGCUUUUGUGGGGUGCUCGAUUGGCGAACGGGUGAGUAACACGUGAGUAACCUGCCCCUGACUUUGGGAUAACUUCAGGAAACUGGGGCUAAUACCGGAUAGGAUCUCCUGCUGCAUGGUGGGGGUUGGAAAGUUUCGGCGGUUGGGGAUGGACUCGCGGCUUAUCAGCUUGUUGGUGGGGUAGUGGCUUACCAAGGCUUCGACGGGUAGCCGGCCUGAGAGGGUGACCGGGCACAAUGGGACUGAGAUACGGCCCAGACUCCUACGGGAGGCAGCAGUGGGGAAUAUUGCACAAUGGGCGGAAGCCUGAUGCAGCAACGCCGCGUGCGGGAUGACGGCCUUCGGGUUGUAAACCGCUUUCGCCUGUGACGAAGCGUGAGUGACGGUAAUGGGUAAAGAAGCACCGGCUAACUACGUG
rnacentral:rRNA from 1 species